CAAACACAAAACAAUACACCAUAUCCUACGCAACAAGUUUCAUCACUUUUUAAAGAGUUUUAUACUUGUUUGCUCCUACUUUUCUUUUACCAUGUCUUCUCGCUUCUCUCUAUUCUGCCUUAUGUUCCUUGCUAUUGGCAUGAUGAGCACUGUUACUCUCCCAGUAGCAGCUCAUCGCCUCCUACAACUUUCAAAGCCCACAUUGCCUAAACUCCUAGACCCAAAUCACCUUCCUGAGGAAAUGCUUCCUACAGUCCUCCUGCCUAGGCUUACUACAGUCGUGCCCGAACUUCCAAAGCCCACCUUGCCUGAACUCCGAAAGCCGAAGCGUUCAUUGCUUCAGGUAGACAUACAUCCUACUGUCGGUGCCGUGCCUAUAGUUGUAGGACUAUUACCUCCGCUAGGUGGAUUACCGAUUACACCACCCUAAAGUUCAGGCCACUGCUACUGGUUACUCUUCUAAUUUCGUCACCUCAUUAUCUAAAAUUAACUACGUUAGGUAAUAUGUAAAAAUAAAUGAGGCGGCAAGAUGAGAAUUAGGUGUCACACUAGAUAAGACGUUAUAUGUAAAAGAGGAUCCUAUAUAUAGCUAUCUUGGGACUCUUAUGUAUGUUUUUAGAGUAAUGGUAUUUUCCUAAUUCUCUUUUUUCGAUUUGCUAUGUUUAUCUCUCACUUAUGUUUAAGGUUGAGGUUGUACUAUCUAUGUAGGUAAUGAGUAAUGAGUAAUGAGUAAUGACUAAUGACGCAUUUAAAUUUAUCAAACCUUGUGGUUUGGUACUCUGUGUAGUUUGAUGUAUGUACUCCCAAUGCAAGUUUCCUGAGAUUGUUAAUUAAGAAAAUUUUCGGACCAGUAAUAGUUCAACAAGAAAUAAUUAAAGUUACCAAACAAAGUGUAUGGGUAUAAUCCAAGUAUGUUAGCGGACCACUAUGAUGAGUCCGCGAACAUUACUGCGGACGCGAGCACGACAAAUGUACCAUCCACAGCUCUAACAAGUCAGUUCACCAACAUGGUCCAACAACAUUGGCGGUCGCCUAAUAAGACAAAAGUAUGAGAAUCUUCCCACCUGUCAAUAGUGGCGGAUUUACUUAGGGUCACUGUUGGUCACGUGACCAACUAUUAUUUCUGAAAAAUAAAAUAAAAUUCAAUUGAAGCGUUUUCUCACACGCGAACUAACCCAGACCACUUCCUCUUUCCCUCUUUUUCUCCUUCGCGAAAACCCUAAGUCCUAACUAGCAGCGAGCGAAGCGCCGACGCAGCGACCGUUAGAUCUUGCCGGUGAGUUUGCCGACACACGACGCAAUUAAGUCGAACGCGAAAAAUCCUAACUAGUAGCACAGUAGCAACGGUCAGUCGAGUCGCAGUUCAGUCGAGUCGCAGUCGCCGGUGCCCGAAUCUGAUUUGUCUGAUUUGUGUGGUUUGAUUUGCGACCGACCGACAGUCACUUCUUCACUGUCACAGCGGGCGGCAGUAGGCGGCAGGGGCGGCAAACUUCAGCUCCAACCAUGGCGGUGUCUCGCUUGUUUAUAUUGAGUGUCAUGCUCAUUGCUUGCGUGAUGAGUAGCACUACCAAGCCAGUUGCAGCUCGCCGCCUUCUAGAAGAGCUUCCGAAGCCUGAGUUGCCUCAUGUGCCUGAAAUUCCUAAGCCCACGGUACCUGAACUUCCAAAGCCCAGCUUGCCUGAGGUACCGAAACCCACAUUGCCUGAACUCCCAAAGCCCGCGUUGCCUGAAGUACCCAAGCCAAAACUACCUGAAAUGCCUAAGCCAAUGUUGCCCGAGCUACCAAAGCCAAUAGUGCCUGAACUUCCAAAGCCCAAGAUGACAGAGCCUGAGACACCAAAACCACAGUACCUGAAGUGCCCAAGCCUGCAGUUCAUGAACUUCCCAAGCCCAAGAUCACUCAUGAGCCUGAAUUGCCCAAGCUUAAAGUUCCCGAGCUACCAAAACCCAUGGUGCCUGAAGUUCCCAAGCCCACAGUACCUGAGUUGCCAAAGCCAACAUUACCAGAGAUUCCCAAGCCUACAGUUCCUGAAAUUCCCAAGCCUACAGUUCCUGAAAUUCCCAAGCCCACAGUACCCGAGUUGCCAAAGCCAACAGUACCAGAAAUUCCCAAGCCUACAGUUCCUGAACUUCCCAAGCCUAAAUUGCCGGAGCUGCCAAAACCCACCGUGCCUGAAGUUCCCAAGCCAACGAUGCCCGAGGUGCCAAAGCCUACACUCCCUGAAAUGCCGAAACCUACAAUGCCUGAGUUGCCCAAGCCUGCAGUGCCGGAAGUGCAUGCCUAAGCCUUGAAGGAUCAUAUUCUAGUUUCCGGGAUUUAUAAUGUGAUAAUAUACAUUCUUUCUUUUACUGUACGUGUUAUCAUAUCUGUUGUUUCUGUCUUGAGAUUAUUGUAUUAUCCAAUUGAGCUACCUAUAUAGUUUGAUACUAUGUUGGCAUUUGAUAAUAAAUUUACAUAUAUUUUUAUUA